UUUAUGGAGAGUUUGAUCCUGGCUCAGGAUGAACGCUGGCGGCGUGCCUAAUACAUGCAAGUCGAGCGAACGGAUGAGAAGCUUGCUUCUCUGAUGUUAGCGGCGGACGGGUGAGUAACACGUGGAUAAUCUACCUAUAAGACUGGGAUAACUUCGGGAAACCGGAGCUAAUACCGGAUAAUAUUUUGA
rnacentral:rRNA from 1 species